rnacentral:rRNA from 1 species
UGGGGAAUAUUGGACAAUGGGCGAAAGCCUGAUCCAGCCAUGCCGCGUGUGUGAAGAAGGUCUUCGGAUUGUAAAGCACUUUAAGUUGGGAGGAAGGGCAGUAAGCGAAUACCUUGCUGUUUUGACGUUACCGACAGAAUAAGCACCGGCUAACUCUGUGCCAGCAGCCGCGGUAAUACAGAGGGUGCAAGCGUUAAUCGGAAUUACUGGGCGUAAAGCGCGCGUAGGUGGUUCGUUAAGUUGAAUGUGAAAGCCCCGGGCUCAACCUGGGAACUGCAUCCAAGACUGGCGAGCUAGUGUAGGGCAGAGGGUGGUAGAAGUUCCUGUGUAGCGGUGAAAUGCGUAGAUAUAGGAAGGAACACCAGUGGCGAAGGCGACCACCUGGGCUCGUACUGACACUGAGGUGCGAAAGCGUGGGGAGCAAACAGG